rnacentral:rRNA from 1 species
GCGUGACGGCGCGAGCAGGUGCGAAAGCAGGUCAUAGUGAUCCGGUGGUUCUGAAUGGAAGGGCCAUCGCUCAACGGAUAAAAGGUACUCCGGGGAUAACAGGCUGAUACCGCCCAAGAGUUCAUAUCGACGGCGGUGUUUGGCACCUCGAUGUCGGCUCAUCACAUCCUGGGGCUGAAGUAGGUCCCAAGGGUAUGGCUGUUCGCCAUUUAAAGUGGUACGCGAGCUGGGUUUAGAACGUCGUGAGACAGUUCGGUCCCUAUCUGCCGUGGGCGCUG